rnacentral:rRNA from 1 species
UACGGGGGGGGCAAGCGUUGUUCGGAAUUACUGGGCGUAAAGGGCUCGUAGGCGGCCAACUAAGUCAGACGUGAAAUCCCUCGGCUUAACCGGGGAACUGCGUCUGAUACUGGAUGGCUUGAGAUUGGGAGAGGGAUGCGGAAUUCCAGGUGUAGCGGUGAAAUGCGUAGAUAUCUGGAGGAACACCGGUGGCGAAGGCGGCAUCCUGGACCAACACUGACGCUGAGGCGCGAAAGCUAGGGGAGCAAACGGG